ensembl:lncRNA
ACCUGGUUCCAUAAGCGUGCACACACUUAUAACUGGGGAUGUGGCUGGGUUCAGAAUUAACCAAUCACAUUCAAACUCAUGUUAAAUAGAAGUCAUUACACACCUGCCAUCAUUUAAAGUGACUCUAAUCAAUCACAAAUAAAGUUCAGCUGUUCUAGUAGGAUUGUCCUGACAUUUUCUUAGUUGCAUCUUAGAGCAAAAGCCAUGGUCCGCGGAGAGCUUUCAAAGCAUCAGAGGGAUCUCAUUGUUCAAAGAUUUCAGUCAGGAGAAAGGUACAAAAUAAGAUAUACCAUGAAACACAGUGAAGACAGACAUCAUCAAGUGGAGAAAAUAUGGCACAACGGAGACAUUACCAAGAACUGGACGUCCCUUCAUAAUUGAUGAAAAGACGAGAAGAAAACUGGUCAGGGAGGCUUCCAAGAGGCCUACAGCAGCAUUAAAGGAACUGCAGGAAUUUCUGGCAAGUACUGGCUGUGUGCUACAUGUGACAACAAUCUCCCGUAUUCUUCAUGUGAAUGGGCUAUGGGGUAGGGUGGCAAGACGGAAGCCUUUUCUUACAAAGAAAAACCUCUAAGCCCGACUGAAGUUUGCAAAAACAAACAUCAAGUCUACCAAAAGCAUGUGGGAAACAUGUUAUGGUCUGAUGAAACCAAGGUUGAACCUUUUGGCCAUAAUUCCAAAAGGUAUGUUUGGUGCAAAAACAACACUGCACAUCACCCAAAGAACACCAUACCCACAGUGAAGCAUGGUGGUGGCAGCAUCAUGCUUUGGGGCUGUUUUUCUUCAGCUGGAACCGGGGCCUUAGUCACUGUGGGGGGAAUUAUGAACAGUUCCAAAAAACCUUCAAGCAUCCGUUAGAAAGCUGAAGAUGAAGUUCACCUUUCAGCACGAAAACGACCCAAAGCACACAUUCAAAUCCACAAAAGCAUGGCUUCACCAGAAGAAUAUUUUGGAAUGGCCCAGCCAGAGCCCAGACCUGAAUCCAAUUGAACAUCUGUGGGGUGAUCUGAAAAGGGCUCUGCACAGGAGAUCGUAAUCUGACAGAUUUGGAGCACUUUUGCAAAGAAGAGCGGGAAAAUAUUGCCAUGCCAAGAUGUGCCAUGCUAAUAGACUCCUACACCAAAAGACUGAGUGCUGUAAUAAAAUCAAAAGGUGCUUCAACAAAGUAUUAGUUAAAAGGUGUAAAGACUUAUGCAACCAGGUUAUUGUGGGGUUUUUAUUUUUUGUUUUUCCCCCUCAAAGAUUUUAGUUUGUUUUUCAAUUUAAUUGUUCACGUUAUAGGUCACAUUAAAGGUAGAAAAAGUUCUGACAUGAUUUUUCUUUAUCUCAUUCUUUUACAUCACAAGAACCUGGCAUUUUAACAGGGGUGUGUAGACUUUUUAUAUCCACUGUAUAUUGUGUGUGUACAUGGUGUAUAUGUAUGUGUCUGGUUGGGCUGCCAAUAUGUACCAUGUUUUCCCCACACAUAAACACACAUCCCCCCAUACAUGCACACACACACACACACACACACAAGCACAAACACUUCAAAGGGCUUAAGAGCAGAUGACAGCUUAUUUCCAGGACACAGAUAAUUCAGAGGGCUCAGUGCCGUAAUUAGCAUUGACAGGUGAAAAUAUGUGUGAACGGCUGAGAUUGUAUCAGCACAGCCAUCUAGUGUAAACACAAGCGCUACAGUACAUCCAUCCACGGCCACUAACACCACAUUAAGACCAGAAAGCACAAAUAUAUUGCCUCGUCCACGUUUAGCGUACCGCCCGCUGUUUCCCUCCUGAUACCUCUGAUCCCCUGUGCUUUGACAGGGCGUAAUAAAGACUACGGAGCGGCUGCAUUGUGUGGGGGAACACAGUGUUGCAUGCUGAGCGCUGUGUGAAGGGCGUCCACUGUUGGGUCCCACGGCGCAGCGGCGCACCAGGCCCUAUAGCGGGGAGUGCUGUGCAUGCUAAUGAGGUCAUUAUGUUGAGGGCUGGCCGGGCGGGCAAAGCAGGCGUGGGCUUAGCUCCCCUCCUCUGCCGCCAUUACCGUGGGGGGACUUAGCAAGUGUGCUAGUCAGGCACCUAGCCGCAGCCAAUCACAGAUGUCACAUGCAGCACAAUGAGCAGACAGGCAGACAGUCACUGACUGCCGCCCCGCGAUUCGCUCACAUCAAAAGCAGCAGCGGUAAUGCUAUCAACGCCCGGCGUAAAACAGACGGGCUCGGAUGAAAGAGGAAAGACAGGAGGGGUGCAGCAACAAGAAACAUUUGUCCCGUGAUUCUCCUGAGCGCCUUAAUUCACACGACGGCACGGCUGGUCCCUACCAACAUCCUCGGCCUAAGACUCAAGCGUAUGCAAAUGCUUUUACGGGCUAUUUGCAUACCCGUUAUUGAUUAAGCAGAUGGAGGACGUUAAACGCGGCCCACAGUCGCCAUCUUGGCUGAGCAGACAGCUGGCAGACAGUGGCAGCCAUUUUGUAGGCACGCGGCACGGCGCUGCCAGGCUGAGACACAGCGUGGCGCCCGUCCCUCUAUGCCAGCAGAUUGGUGGGGACUCUUAAUAACGCUUGCCAGUAAGCAAUGCAACUAUUUCCUCAUUCAAUUAAGGAAUUAUCACAGCCAAGGGCUUUAUGUCUAAGCAGUGGAAGUGGUGCAGAGUUCUAGGUCAUACUGUAUUUUUAUACUGUAUGACAUGAUAAGCAGAGGCCUGGAUUUGACUUAUUUCUUCUUUUAAAUAGACCUAAAACUUUUUAUAUCGCAUUUUAAUGUAUACCCAGCUAUCUUCAGAUAACAUAUGACAUUGGUGUAAAAGGCUCAAACAAUGGUACACUAAAACGGUAUGCCUACUUACCAUUUGAAAUCAUCAGCGUUGUGUUGUUCCUAGGUCUCUCUCUGGGAAGGUGCUUCAGGCUCCAAACAGCAAUGUCCCCUUUGUCCUCUUAAGCCCAGCCGGCAUUGAGAAUCAUUAUCUUCUCCAAUGAAACAUUUUAAUUCUGCUUUAUGUGUAACUGGCUUUCCAUUCAGCCCUCACAUAGUCAUUCUCCUUCCACCGGAUCUUUUCAUCCUUUUUUCAGUAUCUAAAGAUAGUGGUUCUUGUGUGAAGAGGAUUCUUUAAAUAUGUAGGCGAAAGUCACAUGAAACAGAACCAGUGGAGAGGGUCACAUUUCAGGCACUAUACUUUAUGUCCACUGUCCUUUUCAUCUGCACUCAAUUAGGACUCAUUCACUCCUGAGUGUUGUUCAGUGUACAGUGAAGGGGUUUUCUGGUCUCAUCACCACAGACAGUGAACGGUCCUGCAUCAAAACCAGCACCUCUUCUUUCUCCGUUUGGAUCAAUAACAUCUCCCAUAUCGUCUGAUAGUACCGGGAGUCGUGAGUAAGAAAAUGGGAGUUGAAAAAAAGGACUGAUUUGAAUCUGCAAGAGGAAAACAAUUUCUAAUUGUCCUUUUAUCCUGGUUCAUCAGAUGUGGAGUGCUCAGUGGUUGUACAUGCUUAGGAGGGAAGUGAAGAAAGAGAGGCCUGUUCAAUUAAAUAUAAGAGGCCUUUGCACUGAACUCUCAUUCAAACAGUCAGGUGGGAUGGGUAAGAAUGAGUAACCAGAGGAAAAAAUUGAAGAAAAACCUUUGACGUUAGUUUUUUCAUUCUCUCUCAUUCGCUCUCUUGCUAGCAGCCAAAGUUUUAUCAAGCGGUCAUGGGUCAGGAAAGCCCCUCCGGCAGAACCACACACACAGACAUGCUCAAACACACACCCACCCACACACACAAACAUACACAGGGUGGUUAGGGUUAGGGCCCUGGCUGGUUGUGAGACUUGGAAAGGGCUGGACCGCUGGGUCCCUGGGCACUACAGCCAGAGGCGUUUCUGGGCGACCCCUGCUAGCCUCACUCCUCCGUAUUGAUUCGCUGCUCCGUGCUGCCGAAGAGCAGGUUGCCAGCGGGGACGAGAGCCCGCCUUGCCUCGGCUCGUCUGCCCACUUCGCCGCUGCUUGGCUGGCCUCAGUCAGCUCCCUGAGACCCCGGCACAGAGCAGAGGGCCACGGGGGGAGCCAGAGCCCAUGGCCAUCCACAGAUGGGUUCUCCUGCUCCCUGGUUCACUGUUCACCGCUCCAUUCCUCCAUUCCGUUCCUUCAACCCACUCUCCUCCUCGUCCUCCUCUUUUUCACUCUGUCUCUCCUCUUCCUGCACACAAACAACAAGACAAGGAGAAGAAAAAAAGUUGAGCUUAACUUGCAGCAUUUUGCCCACUCCAGAUGUCAACCUUGUGCUUUGAUCGGAGAGAUGUGGGGGGUGAAUAUUUUGGCAUCCUCACAGUCUGUAAUGUGAACUUCAUCACCCUCUGUGUGAAGAAAAGCUGAAAUGGGAGAAUGUUGAGUUAAGUGUGUCAGGCAGGAAGAAACUGGCUGCCAAGUGUACUCUGGGCUAUUACUCUGAUGCCUUCUCUCCACAGCAGCCAGUGACAGCAUUUGGGCCUAUUAUAAAAAUCACCAUAUAGCACUGGUGGAAUUCAGAAAAAAUGCCCCUGAACAAAAUGCACUCUUUACCAAUAACCUCCUAUAGCCCUGCCCCAAAGGUCCACCAAGUUUUAGGUAAUUUGCUAUUGUCAGUAAAUGGUAACCCCCACCAAAAAAAAAGAAAGACUUCACAGACAUAGCUGUUUGGCAUAUUGAAUGUGGAAGAAUGUGAGUGAAACACGCUCACAUUGUUGUCAGAAACUUUGUUAAAAAACACUUGUGCUUUUCUAUUGUCUAAAAUUAUUCAAAUGGUUUCAGCACCCUCUUAUUAUGCAAAUGACAGUCGGGGACAUUUCUUCAUGGAAUCUCAGCCCCAUUGUGUACGCCAACUGUGAAGACCACAGCUAAACACCCGCCUUCCCCACUUGCCACCUUCAUCACUGCACUACCACCUAAUAACCUAGAGGGCUCGUCUCCUCACUUCCACUGUCACAAACAAACACAAAUAUUGUUGUUGCGCAGGGAAUAAAUAAACUGUUAUGUACUCUUUUAGAGAGUUGAUGGGCCUUUGGAAGCUGAGAGUUAGGAGGACAAAAAAAAAACUGGGCUGUUUGGACAAGAGAGGGGUAUGUUAGGGGUACGGACAGGGGGAGAUGAGGGGGGACCGAGGGGAGGCCGGGGUGAGGUGCAUGUCUCAGACACAAUAAUACUAUUCAUUGGGCUCAGACAUGGGUGUUAACUCCCCUCUGCCAGGACACAAUGAGGCUCCCCUGCAUUCAGACAGCCUUGGUGAUAUUGUUAGUUCAGGACCGCAUUCUCCCGGCUGCAGGAUACAGCGGACACAUUGUGGCGGGCCAACACGAUGGACGGAGGGAGUCUUGAGAGGUGAAAGGCAAAAAAAAG